GACGAACGCUGGCGGCGUGCCUAAUACAUGCAAGUAGAACGCUGAAGGAGGAGCUUGCUUCUCUGGAUGAGUUGCGAACGGGUGAGUAACGCGUAGGUAACCUGCCUGGUAGCGGGGGAUAACUAUUGGAAACGAUAGCUAAUACCGCAUAAUAGCAGUUGUUGCAUGACAACUGUUUGAAAGGUGCAAUUGCACCACUACCAGAUGGACCUGCGUUGUAUUAGCUAGUUGGUGGGGUAACGGCUCACCAAGGCGACGAUACAUAGCCGACCUGAGGGGGUGAUCGGCCACACUGGGACUGAGACACGGCCCAGACUCCUACGGGAGGCAGCAGUAGGGAAUCUUCGGCAAUGGACGGAAGUCUGACCGAGCAACGCCGCGUGAGUGAAGAAGGGUUUCGGAUCGUAAAGCUCUGUUGUAAGAGAAGAACGAGUGUGAGAGUGGAAAGUUCACGCUGUGACGGUAUCUUACCAGAAAGGGACGGCUAACUACGUG
rnacentral:rRNA from 1 species